CUGAAAGUAUCGUACGAAUAAGGAUCGGCUAACUCCGUGCCAGCAGCCGCGGUAAUACGGAGGAUUCAAGCGUUAUCCGGAUUUAUUGGGUUUAAAGGGUGCGUAGGCGGUUUGAUAAGUUAGAGGUGAAAUUUCGGGGCUCAACCCUGAACGUGCCUCUAAUACUGUUGAGCUAGAGAGUAGUUGCGGUAGGCGGAAUGUAUGGUGUAGCGGUGAAAUGCUUAGAGAUCAUACAGAACACCGAUUGCGAAGGCAGCUUACCAAACUAUAUCUGACGUUGAGGCACGAAAGCGUGGGGAGCAAACAGGAUUAGAUACCCUGGUAGUCCACGCAGUAAACGAUGAUAACUCGUUGUCGGCGAUACACAGUCGGUGACUAAGCGAAAGCGAUAAGUUAUCCACCUGGGGAGUACGUUCGCAAGAAUGAAACUCAAAGGAAUUGACGGGGGCCCGCACAAGCGGAGGAACAUGUGGUUUAAUUCGAUGAUACGCGAGGAACCUUACCCGGGCUUGAAAGUUAGCGACGAUUCUUGAAAGAGGAUUUCCCUUCGGGGCGCGAAACUAGGUGCUGCAUGGUUGUCGUCAGCUCGUGCCGUGAGGUGUCGGGUUAAGUCCCAUAACGAGCGCAACCCCUACCGUUAGUUGCCAUCAGGUGAAGCUGGGCACUCUGGCGGGACUGCCGGUGUAAGCCGAGAGGAAGGUGGGGAUGACGUCAAAUCAGCACGGCCCUUACGUCCGGGGCUACACACGUGUUACAAUGGGGGGUACAGAAGGCAGCUACACGGCGACGUGAUGCUAAUCCCGAAAGCCUCUCUCAGUUCGGAUUGGAGUCUGCAACCCGACUCCAUGAAGCUGGAUUCGCUAGUAAUCGCGCAUCAGCCAUGGCGCGGUGAAUACGUUCCCGGGCCUUGUACACACCGCCCGUCAAGCCAUGG
rnacentral:rRNA from 1 species